rnacentral:rRNA from 1 species
GACGAACGCUGGCGGCGUGCCUAAUACAUGCAAGUUGAGCGCUGAAGGUUGGUACUUGUACCAACUGGAUGAGCAGCGAACGGGUGAGUAACGCGUGGGGAAUCUGCCUUUGAGCGGGGGACAACAUUUGGAAACGAAUGCUAAUACCGCAUAAAAACUUUAAACACAAGUUUUAAGAUUGAAAGAUGCAAUUGCAUCACUCAAAGAUGAUCCCGCGUUGUAUUAGCUAGUUGGUGAGGUAAAGGCUCACCAAGGCGAUGAUACAUAGCCGACCUGGGAGGGUGAUCGGCCACAUUGGGACUGAGACACGGCCCAAACUCCUACGGGAGGCAGCAGUAGGGAAUCUUCGGCAAUGGACGAAAGUCUGACCGAGCAACGCCGCGUGAGUGAAGAAGGUUUUCGGAUCGUAAAACUCUGUUGGUAGAGAAGAACGUUGGUGAGAGUGGAAAGCUCAUCAAGUGACGGUAACUACCCAGAAAGGGACGGCUAACUACGUG